rnacentral:rRNA from 1 species
UACGAAGGGGACUAGCGUUGUUCGGAUUUACUGGGCGUAAAGCGCGCGUAGGCGGAUCGCUAAGUCAGGGGUGAAAUCCCAGGGCUCAACCCUGGAACUGCCUUUGAUACUGACGAUCUGGAGAUCGGGAGAGGUUGGUGGAAUUCCGAGCGUAGAGGUGAAAUUCGUAGAUAUUCGGAGGAACACCAGAAGCGAAGGCGGCCAACUGGCCCGAUACUGACGCUGAGGUGCGAAAGCGUGGGGAGCAAACAGG